rnacentral:rRNA from 1 species
GAUGAACGCUGGCGGCGUGCCUAAUACAUGCAAGUAGAACGCUGAAGGAGGAGCUUGCUCUUCUGGAUGAGUUGCGAACGGGUGAGUAACGCGUAGGUAACCUGCCUGGUAGCGGGGGAUAACUAUUGGAAACGAUAGCUAAUACCGCAUGACAACAGUUAUUGCAUGAUAACUGUUUAAAAGGGGCAACUGCUCCACUACCAGAUGGACCUGCGUUGUAUUAGCUAGUUGGUGAGGUAACGGCUCACCAAGGCGACGAUACAUAGCCGACCUGAGAGGGUGAUCGGCCACACUGGGACUGAGACACGGCCCAGACUCCUACGGGAGGCAGCAGUAGGGAACCUUCGGCAAUGGACGGAAGUCUGACCGAGCAACGCCGCGUGAGUGAAGAAGGUUUUCGGAUCGUAAAGCUCUGUUGUAAGAGAAGAACGAGUGUGAGAGUGGAAAGUUCACACUGUGACGGUAUCUUACCAGAAAGGGACGGCUAACUACGUG